CGGGGUGGAUUAGUGGCGAACGGGUGAGUAACACGUGGGCAAUCUGCCCUUCACUCUGGGACAAGCCCUGGAAACGGGGUCUAAUACCGGAUACCACUCCUGCCCGCAUGGGCGGGGGUUGAAAGCUCCGGCGGUGAAGGAUGAGCCCGCGGCCUAUCAGCUUGUUGGUGGGGUAAUGGCCCACCAAGGCGACGACGGGUAGCCGGCCUGAGAGGGCGACCGGCCACACUGGGACUGAGACACGGCCCAGACUCCUACGGGAGGCAGCAGUGGGGAAUAUUGCACAAUGGGCGAAAGCCUGAUGCAGCGACGCCGCGUGAGGGAUGACGGCCUUCGGGUUGUAAACCUCUUUCAGCAGGGAAGAAGCGAAAGUGACGGUACCUGCAGAAGAAGCGCCGGCUAACUACGUGCCAGCAGCCGCGGUAAUACGUAGGGCGCAAGCGUUGUCCGGAAUUAUUGGGCGUAAAGAGCUCGUAGGCGGCUUGUCACGUCGGAUGUGAAAGCCCGAGGCUUAACCUCGGGUCUGCAUUCGAUACGGGCUAGCUAGAGUGUGGUAGGGGAGAUCGGAAUUCCUGGUGUAGCGGUGAAAUGCGCAGAUAUCAGGAGGAACACCGGUGGCGAAGGCGGAUCUCUGGGCCAUUACUGACGCUGAGGAGCGAAAGCGUGGGGAGCGAACAGGAUUAGAUACCCUGGUAGUCCACGCCGUAAACGUUGGGAACUAGGUGUUGGCGACAUUCCACGUCGUCGGUGCCGCAGCUAACGCAUUAAGUUCCCCGCCUGGGGAGUACGGCCGCAAGGCUAAAACUCAAAGGAAUUGACGGGGGGCCCGCACAAGCAGCGGAGCAUGUGGCUUAAUUCGACGCAACGCGAAGACCUUACCAGGCUUGACAUAUACCGGAAAGCAUAGAAUAGUGCCCCCUUGGGGUCGGUAUCAGGCGGUGCAUGGCUGUC
rnacentral:rRNA from 1 species